rnacentral:rRNA from 1 species
GACGGAGGGUGCUAGCGUUGUUCGGAAUCACUGGGCGUAAAGCGCACGUAGGCGGGCUGGUCAGUUGGGGGUGAAAUCCCAGGGCUCAACCCUGGAACUGCCUCCAAUACUGCCAGUCUUGAGUCCGAGAGAGGUGAGUGGAAUUCCUAGUGUAGAGGUGAAAUUCGUAGAUAUUAGGAAGAACACCAGUGGCGAAGGCGGCUCACUGGCUCGGUACUGACGCUGAGGUGCGAAAGCGUGGGGAGCAAACAGG